rnacentral:lncRNA from 12 species
UAUUCACCCAAGUCAAAAGAAAACAUAUUGGAGGCAAGACAGUUGGAGUUUAAUGGACUGCAUUACCAAGGGGGCAGAUGGAAGAAUUGGCCACAUCAUCUGCCUCAGUGCCUCCUGGCUGAAGAGAACCUGAACCAUUAAAGGAGUUGGAGAAUAGACGAGAAAUGGUAGGCUCAUUAUGUAAAUUAGCAGUCUUUAAGUAGCUAUCUUUUGAGAUGC